CAGGAAUUCAACUGGCAAAAGAACUAAGGUUAACAUCAUGAAAUAAGCAAUGGAAAACUCUGAUAUUUCUAGCCAGGCAGUAAAGAAUGUCUUUUCCUUGUGACAUCUCAAGCCACAGAAGCCAUGUCUUUAAAAAAGUCUCUUAUAUCAGAAAGGCUUUUUACUCCAUCUUUUUCAGGAUUGUAAAAUGUGGUUGGGCAAAGGGGGAGGGUAGUGGGGAAUGCGGAAUUUUUUGAAGCAGAACUGGUAGGAAAUUUAAAAACCUCAUGGACAAUGUGAAAGAGGGGAAGAGAUUUCAGAUGAAAUAAUGCUUCCUCCCCUGACAGAUCCUAAAGAGCUGUAUUGAUAGCGAUCUUCAAACUGUCAAAUUUAAUUUUGUCUAUUGAAAGUAAUUUNNNNNNNUGUAGUUGUAGCCAUUUCAGUUGAUUUUCAUGACUCUUGGACAAUUUUUAUUAGUUAUAUUUAGUGAUUUGAUCUUUCUGUUAGAUCACACAAAAACUGUACAUUCUGGAAAAGUAAUUAUGUCUAUUUCUUCUUCUGACAGAGUAUGAAGUAAAGACUAUAUCUAUGAAAGAAAUAGAUUCACUAAUGGGGUUUUGAAUACUUAAGCGAUGUCCUCGUUCUUUUAACAAAGAGAACUGAAUCAAAACUACAAAUGUUUUGUUUGGUGGAAUUAUAGGAUAGUGAACGACGACAACAAAGAACAUAAUUCAAAACAGACUCCUCUUAAUCUAUGACUGAGGCAGGAAGUACCCUAAGCGACUGGCUGCCCACUGGAAUCACCUGAGAAGCAUUUAAAUAAAUGCCAGUUCCACUUUGCUUAAAUUAACUAUACUUAAAUAAAAUUUUUUAAAAAUUGGAAAAAUCAAAGAAAUAAAUAAAUAAAAAGUGAAAGAAUAAAAAUAAAUAAAUAAAUGCCAGUUUCUAUCUGGGGCUAUCACCUAUGCAUCAAUAUUUUUAAAAGCUCCUCAGGCAGUUUUAAUCAGCAUUCAGUACUCAAAACCAGUAAGUUAUCCUCAAUUAGUCUUGCCCCAAUAUUUACUAAACCCAAUGUUGCUAUAAUUGAAAUAUGAAUUAUGAAAUAAAAUGUAUUGAGUCUUAGUUAUUGGACUUGAAACUUCAUUGCACUGGGAGAAUUAUUUGGUUCUGAGUGUGCUAAGCUUCAGUCAUGUCUGACUCUUUGAGAAUUAUUUAAAAUGUGACAAAUAAAAAAUUUCAAAAAAUAGCAUUAUUAAGAGCCAUGUAUGGUAGAGAACUUGUUCUAAAGGUGUCUUGAAAAGAAAGAAAUCAUAAAGGAGUAGUGAUUAAAGAAAACUUCUGGGAGAAGCUGGGACUCUGUGCAGAGCAGGAUCUGAUGGGACAUUUCCAGAACAGACACCUCCAUAUGUCUUCUGCCUGCCUCUAAACUUUGGAGAAAAAGUUUAGCCUCCUAGGCCUUCUCUGAGUUCCAAAGAACAAAUUUAAUUCGAGAAGUGAGAAAAGGCAGAAACAAAAGAAAACGAUCAACAAGACAAAAUCAUAAUGGUUUAGUCAUUAAACAAAGUCAAGGACCUUUAGUUUCUCCUCACGUUAGUCGCUCAGUCGUGUCUGACUCUCUGCAGCCCCAAAGACUGUAGCCCACCAGACUCCUUUGUCCAUGAUAUUCUCCUGGCAAGAAUACUGGGGUGAGUAGCUAUUCCCUUCUCCAGAGGAUGGUCCUGACCCAGCGAUCGAACCCAGGUUUCCUGCAUUGCAGGCAAAUUCUUUGUCAUCUAAGCCACCAGAGAAGCCCCAAUUUCUCCUCAAGAGAUAAUAUUCUGAGCCACAUCCUCUGAGCUAUUUUUCAGAUGCUGAAACCCCUACCAGGUGGAAGAAGUUAACUGCAAUCUGACCACAAGCACAUAGACUCCAGACCAGUUGGAACCAGAAGGCUGACGAUGUUGAUUGCUGAUUACCUCACCACUAACCAAUCAGAAGAAUAUCUACAAGCUGAUCAUGUACCCUGCAACCCUCUCCAUCACCCUAUCUUUAAAAGUCUUUACCUGAAAGCCACCAGGGAGUUCAGGUCUUUUGAGCAUUAAUAGCUCAGACUCCUAGUUUUACACCUGCAAUUAAUUCUGCACUUUCCUUCACCACAAUCCAGUAUCAGCAGACCUAAAUUUGGUUCAGUAACAAGCCUGGGCUUCAAAGUGUGACAGCUCUAGAGGGUAGCCAGCCUC
rnacentral:lncRNA from 1 species